rnacentral:rRNA from 1 species
UUACAUAUGCUUGUCUUUAAUAUUAACCCAUGCAUGUGCCAGUUCAGUAUUGAACAGCGAAACUGCGAAUGGCUCAUUAAAACAGUUAUAGUUUAUUUGAUAAUUAAAAAUUACAUGGAUAACCGAGCUAAUUGUUGGGGUAAUACAUGCUUAAAAUUUCGUGUCCUGCGACCGGAAAGUAUUUUUUAGAUAUUAGACCCAUCAGGGCAACCUGAUUGAGAUGAAUCAAAGUAACUGAUCGAAUUGCAGCUUGGUGCGAUAAAUCAUUUAAGUUUUUGCCCUAUCAGCUCUCGAUGGUAGUGUAUUGGACUACCCUGGCAGUCACGGGUAACGGAGAAUUAGGGUUUGAUUCCGGAGAAGGAGCCUGAGAAACGGCUACUACAAAUUCGGUUUGGCAGCAGGGAAGAAAAUUGGCCAAUCCUAAUUCAGGGAGCCAGUGACCCGAAAUAGCAAGCUGGGAAACUUUGUUUUUUCGGCAUUGAAAUGAGAACAGUGUUAAUCUUUUAGCGAGGAACAAUU